rnacentral:rRNA from 1 species
AGUGCCUACGGGAGGCAGCAGUGGGGAAUAUUGGGCAAUGGAGGAAACUCUGACCCAGCAACGCCGCGUGAAGGAUGAAGGUUUUCGGAUUGUAAACUUCUGUCGCGAGGGAUGAAGAAUGACGGUACCUCGUAAGAAAGCCCCGGCAAACUACGUGCCAGCAGCCGCGGUAAUACGUAGGGGGCGAGCGUUGUCCGGAAUGACUGGGCGUAAAGGGAGUGUAGGCGGCAUAUUAAGUCUGAUGUGAAAGCCUUCGGCUUAACCGGAGUAGUGCAUUGGAAACUGGGAGACUUGAGUGCGGAAGA